rnacentral:rRNA from 1 species
GCAGCAGCCGCGGUAAUACGUAGGGUGCAAGCGUUAAUCGGAAUUACUGGGCGUAAAGCGUGCGCAGGCGGUUAUGCAAGACAGAGGUGAAAUCCCCGGGCUCAACCUGGGAACUGCCUUUGUGACUGCAUAGCUAGAGUGCGGCAGAGGGGGAUGGAAUUCCGCGUGUAGCAGUGAAAUGCGUAGAUAUGCGGAGGAACACCGAUGGCGAAGGCAAUCCCCUGGGCCUGCACUGACGCUCAUGCACGAAAGCGUGGGGAGCAAACAGGAUUAGAUACCCUGGUAGUCCACGCCCUAAACGAUGUCAACUGGUUGUUGGGAGGGUUUCUUCUCAGUAACGAAGCUAACGCGUGAAGUUGACCGCCUGGGGAGUACGGCCGCAAGGUUGAAACUUAAAGGAAUUGGCGGGGGA